rnacentral:rRNA from 1 species
CCAAUAGCGUAUAUUAAAGUUGUUGCAGUUAAAAAGCUCGUAGUUGAAUUUCGGGAUCAAGGGAUCGGUCAUGCCUUGGUAUGUACUGGUCUUAUUGGUUCUCACCUUCUAAAGAACCAUGAUGUCAUUCAUUUGAUGUUAUGGGGAAUUAGGACUGUUACCUUGAAAAAAUUAGAGUGUUUAAAGCAAGCUUACGCUUGAAUACAUUAGCAUGGAAUAAUGAAAUAGGACAUCAGAUUCUAUUUUGUUGGUUUCUAGGAUCGAUGUAAUGAUUAAUAGCGAUAGUUGGGGGCAUUAGUAUUCAAUUGGCAGAGGUGAAAUUCUUGGAUUUAUUGAAGACUAACUACUGCGAAAGUAUUUGCCAAGGAUGUUUUCAGUAAUCAAGAACGAAAGUUAGGGGAUCGAAGACGAUCAGAUAGCGUCGUAGUCUUAACCAUAAACUAUGCCGACUAGGGAUCGGAUGAUGUUAAUUUUUUAAUGACUCAUUCGGCACCUUACG